CCACGAACAGGUAGGCAAUUUGUCUGAGCAUGCACGCAGAAAACCAAUAUGGCGACAUAUAUUAGGAGUGUUUCGUGAAUUUAUCUGGUUUUAAAGCUGAUAAAACAACAUUUUAAUGAACGAAAACUUUGUGAUAUUUAGUGGAAAACAUUAAAGUGCCCCUGACACAAAAAUUGAUUUUUUGUGUGUUGAAAGUACACAUUAUGUGGAGUGUUUUGGUGAAAGAAUUUUUUGAUUUCAUUAAAAAGGAAAAUUUUUAGAGCGGUUUAAACACAUAAAUUUUUGGCACAUGGACGUCGGCUACAGGAGUCUGGGGAUAGCAUUUUUUGUGACGUCACGCAAAUGAGUCAAAUCUUGACGGUCUGUUAGACUUUUAUCAGUUUUGAUCAGCUCAAAGGUUUUGAUCGCUGAACGGCUGAAGUGUUUUUAUAUUCUAAAUUCUAUCAUGGUUCUAUAAAGUAUCAUGUCGACAACAGAAUCCGACAGUAGCGAUCAGUCCGAUGAUUCCAGUGCGAAUUUUAUACCUGGUUAAUAUAUGUUGUGUUGGAAGAUGCUGAUCAAUAACACGCCAGGUCCCUAGUAUUAUCAUUAAAACCACCAAAUCUACACGACGCGGACGUGACGAAAAACUGCCGCUAUUAUCACAAUUUCACUUCACGAGUAAAACUAUGGAUUGUUGUUGGUAAACAAAGCUAGGGGACACGAGAAAAAUAAAAUAAAACUAGUCUCCCAUUAUUAGCGACUGUUUUUAGUCUGCGUCUCAGAUUUGGCGCAUCUUGCCUGGCCCUCUGCUAACGUAGACGUUCUAUGGCUUUGCAAAGUUUAUAUCUCCGGUUCGGUGCAUGAUAUGAAGACAAAAAUACUACGACUCGUUUCAGUGAAACAAGCCACCCUUG